rnacentral:rRNA from 1 species
CCUACGGGAGGCAGCAGUGAGGAAUAUUGGUCAAUGGCCGUAAGGCUGAACCAGCCAAGUCGCGUGAAGGAAGAAGGAUCUAUGGUUUGUAAACUUCUUUUAUAGGGGAAUAAAGGUAUCCACGUGUGGAUAUUUGCAUGUCCCCUAUGAAUAAGCAUCGGCUAACUCCGUGCCAGCAGCCGCGGUAAUACGGUGGAUGCGAGCGUUAUCCGGAUUUAUUGGGUGUAAAGGGUGUGUAGGUUGUAUUUUAAGUCAGAGGUGAAAGUUUGUGGCUCAACCAUAAGCUUUCAUUUGAAACAGGAGGACGUGAGUGAGGGAGAGGCAGGCGGAAUGCGGUGUGUAGCGGUGAAAUGCAUAGAUAUACGGAGGAACACCAGUUGCGAAGGCGGCCUACUGACCAUUAACUGACACUGAGGCACGAAAGCGUGGGGAGCAAACAGGAUUAGAUACCCGGGUAGUC